UACGGAGGGUGCGAGCGUUGUCCGGAAUCACUGGGCGUAAAGGGCGCGUAGGCGGCUGGGGAAGUCGGUGGUGAAAGCUCGUGGCUCAACUACGAGUCGGCCAACGAUACUCCUCGGCUCGAGCACUGUAGAGGCAGGUGGAAUUCCGGGUGUAGCGGUGGAAUGCGUAGAGAUCCGGAAGAACAUCGGUGGCGAAGGCGGCCUGCUGGGCAGUAGCUGACGCUGAGGCGCGACAGCGUGGGGGAGCAAACAGG
rnacentral:rRNA from 1 species